rnacentral:rRNA from 1 species
AACGAACGCUGGCGGCAGGCUUAACACAUGCAAGUCGAACGCCCCGCAAGGGGAGUGGCAGACGGGUGAGUAACGCGUGGGAACAUACCCUUUCCUGCGGAAUAGCUCUGGGAAACUGGAAUUAAUACCGCAUACGCCCUACGGGGGAAAGAUUUAUCGGGGAAGGAUUGGCCCGUGUUGGAUUAGCUAGUUGGUGGGGUAAAGGCCUACCAAGGCGACGAUCCAUAGCUGGUCUGAGAGGAUGAUCAGCCACAUUGGGACUGAGACACGGCCCAAACUCCUACGGGAGGCAGCAGUGGGGAAUAUUGGACAAUGGGCGCAAGCCUGAUCCAGCCAUGCUGCGUGAGUGAUGAAGGCCUUAGGGUUGUAAAGCUCUUUCACCGAUGAAGAUAAUGACGGUAGUCGGAGAAGAAGCCCCGGCUAACUUCGUGCCAGCAGCCGCGGUAACAC